GAUGAACGCUGGCGGCGUGCCUAAUACAUGCAAGUAGAACGCUGAAGCUUGGUGCUUGCACCGAGCGGAUGAGUUGCGAACGGGUGAGUAACGCGUAGGUAACCUGCCUCUUAGCGGGGGAUAACUAUUGGAAACGAUAGCUAAUACCGCAUAAAAGUCGACAUUGCAUGAUGUUGACUUGAAAGGUGCAAAUGCAUCACUAAGAGAUGGACCUGCGUUGUAUUAGCUAGUUGGUGAGGUAACGGCUCACCAAGGCGACGAUACAUAGCCGACCUGAGAGGGUGAUCGGCCACACUGGGACUGAGACACGGCCCAGACUCCUACGGGAGGCAGCAGUAGGGAAUCUUCGGCAAUGGGGGCAACCCUGACCGAGCAACGCCGCGUGAGUGAAGAAGGUUUUCGGAUCGUAAAGCUCUGUUGUAAGAGAAGAACGAGUGUGAGAGUGGAAAGUUCACACUGUGACGGUAACUUACCAGAAAGGGACGGCUAACUACGUGCCAGCAGCCGCGGUAAUACGUAGGUCCCGAGCGUUAUCCGGAUUUAUUGGGCGUAAAGCGAGCGCAGGCGGUUAGAUAAGUCUGAAGUUAAAGGCUGUGGCUUAACCAUAGUACGCUUUGGAAACUGUUUAACUUGAGUGCAGAAGGGGAGAGUGGAAUUCCAUGUGUAGCGGUGAAAUGCGUAGAUAUAUGGAGGAACACCGGUGGCGAAAGCGGCUCUCUGGUCUGUAACUGACGCUGAGGCUCGAAAGCGUGGGGAGCAAACAGG
rnacentral:rRNA from 1 species